rnacentral:tRNA from 1 species
GGCCAGAUGGCGGAGUGGUCUAACGCGCCAGACUUGAAUUCAGAAACUAAUGUUAAAAUAGUGUUCGAAUCACACUCUGGUCG